AGUGAACGCUGGCGGUAGGCCUAACACAUGCAAGUCGAACGGCAGCACAGGAGAGCUUGCUCUCUGGGUGGCGAGUGGCGGACGGGUGAGGAAUACAUCGGAAUCUACUUUUUCGUGGGGGAUAACGUAGGGAAACUUACGCUAAUACCGCAUACGACCUACGGGUGAAAGCAGGGGACCUUCGGGCCUUGCGCGAUUGAAUGAGCCGAUGUCGGAUUAGCUAGUUGGCGGGGUAAAGGCCCACCAAGGCGACGAUCCGUAGCUGGUCUGAGAGGAUGAUCAGCCAAACUGGAACUGAGACACGGUCCAGACUCCUACGGGAGGCAGCAGUGGGGAAUAUUGGACAAUGGGCGCAAGCCUGAUCCAGCCAUGCCGCGUGGGUGAAGAAGGCCUUCGGGUUGUAAAGCCCUUUUGUUGGGAAAGAAAUCCAGCUGGCUAAUACCCGGUUGGGAUGACGGUACCCAAAGAAUAAGCACCGGCUAACUUCGUGCCAGCCGCCGCCAGUAA
rnacentral:rRNA from 1 species